rnacentral:rRNA from 1 species
AGGACGAACGCUGGCGGCGUGCUUAACACAUGCAAGUCGAGCGGAAAGGCCCUUCGGGGUACUCGAGCGGCGAACGGGUGAGUAACACGUGAGUAAUCUGCCCCUAGCUCUGGGAUAGCUCCGGGAAACCGGGAUUAAUACCGGAUACGACCACCUUAGACAUCUUUUGUGGUGGAAAGAAUUUCGGCUAGGGAUGAGCUCGCGGCCUAUCAGCUUGUUGGUGGGGUAACGGCCUACCAAGGCGACGACGGGUAGCCGGCCUGAGAGGGCGACCGGCCACGACUGGGACUGAGACACGGCCCAGACUCCUACGGGAGGCAGCAGUGGGGAAUAUUGCGCAAUGGGCGAAAGCCUGACGCAGCGACGCCGCGUGGGGGAUGAAGGCCUUCGGGUUGGUAAACCUCUUUCAGUAGGGACGAAGCGAAAGUGACGGUACCUGCAGAAGAAGCACCGGCCAACUACGUGCCAGCAGCCGC